GACGAACGCUGGCGGCGUGCUUAACACAUGCAAGUCGAGCGGAAAGGCCCUUUUGGGGGUACUCGAGCGGCGAACGGGUGAGUAACACGUGAGUAAUCUGCCCUGCACUUCGGGAUAGCUUCGGGAAACCGAGAUUAAUACCGGAUAGGACCUGGCCUCGCAUGGGGUUGGGUGGAAAGCUUUGGUGGUGUGGGAUGCGCUCGCGGCCUAUCAGCUUGAUGGUGGGGUAGUGGCCUACCAUGGCUUUGACGGGUAGCCGGCCUGAGAGGGUGACCGGCCACGCUGGGACUGAGACACGGCCCAGACUCCUACGGGAGGCAGCAGUGGGGAAUAUUGGACAAUGGGCGGAAGCCUGAUCCAGCAACGCCGCGUGAGGGAUGACGGCCUUCGGGUUGUAAACCUCUUUCAGCACAGACGAAGCUCACUUGUGGGUGACGGUAUGUGCAGAAGAAGCACCGGCCAACUACGUGCCAGCCGCCGCGGUAAGAC
rnacentral:rRNA from 1 species